UUUUUUUUUUUUUCCCUGUGGUAUUUACAGUGCCCUGAUGCUCAUUCAGUUUUCCUAGCUAACAGCUAGGGAGGUAGAUGGAGCUGCCUGGAAUCCUGACAUCAGACACUUGACAGGCACUUCCUGCUUCAGGCAUCCAGCAGGAGGGCAGCAGGCAGCUUGGAUGUGUUCCUAUGUCAGGAACAGGACCCCAACAGAGUGGGAUUUCCACAAUGUACCUGCCCCACUGACUUCUGGAAGAAGUUCCUCUCAAACCUGUGUGUCAUUCCCAGGCAUCACUCCUAUUUUCCUGGGGAAAUACUGACCCUCAGAAUAUGGUGUGUUUGAGAUGCUGAAGACACCAAACUACUGUUUGCUGGGGUCUCCAGACUGCCAGACUGGCUGCCAGCUUGUUAAACACACACUGAUGUGCCAUUAGGGAGCUGAAGUGUCAUCAAUGUUAUAAACCUGAACCUGUAGCUUAAUUUAGGGGCUUGUCAGACAUACGGUAAUAGGCUGGUAAGGCUUGGUGAAAGGUGGCGUUUGCAGGCAUCUGUACAUUUUUAAUCUCUGUAUACAAUAAAAUAUUACAUAUUAGCUUUUGCUCUUGCUGGCAGAUUUGUUGUGGGAAGAUCUACUUUGGGACUCCAGUAGCACUGAAUACUGAGCAAGUGACAGAAAUAGGGAGUUUGGAGCAAUGUCUCUGCUGGCGUAACUCCAUUGCAGCCAGAGGGUGAAAUCCCAGCCCUGUUGAGAUGCACGGGACUUGUGCCAGGCUUCAGCUGCUGAGAACUCUUUUAGCAACUCAACCCUGAUUUUGCUUUGGACUGAAACCUCCCUGUGGAUCUCAGCCUAGAAACACUUGCAUCUUUCACACAGAAGAAAAAUGUUCUGCAGCAAGCAAAUGAGCUUGGAAAUGAUUUAAACUUCAUCAGUGGAGCUCUAGCUAUAGACAUUCACUGUAGGCUAAAUUUGGUUUGUGUGGUAAGACAUGAAGGUGCUCAGAGACACUCAUCUCCCUCAGUGAUGGAAGGGCUCAUGCUUGGCUGCAAUCACAGUUUAUUUGACAUGCUCCCUGUUACUCCUGUGAAUGGCAGGAGCAAAGUUUUGGUGCUUUCAGUGUAACUCAUUCAUGCAGUCAGUGCUCAUCAACAUUUUCAAAAGACCAGGAACCCUAGAUAUUGACAAUGUACUUCUCUCUUCUCUUUACAGUGUAUGUUGCUGUCCUGGCAUCCCAGCUCCUUUUCCAGGCCUAUCCAUUGCUCCAGAGUAUUUGCUGGCAGCUCUUGAGGAUGCAGGCACACCUGCAUCAAAGUGCCGCUCCUGUUUGUGGGACUACAGCCCCAGAAAGGUCGGAGAGCUGGUGCUUCCAUUACCCACGGCUGUGACUUGAUAACCUUAUGGUUCUGAGGUCAAAAAUUAAGCAGGAAAAGAGGGGCUGGAAAACCAAAAUAAAUUAAUAAUAAUUCUGAUUUCCUUAUACAUUUUAAAGAAGCAGAAUGGGGAAAACUGUUUUGCUUUGCAGGUCACUUUCACAGCAAACAGGAAUCAUUCAGCUACUGCUGGAUAAUACCAAGGGCUCUCUCAGAGGCUGACAAUUGGAAUGAUUAAAAAAAUAUGAGCAAGAUUUUAAGUGUCUCUUUGAGAAACAAGCAGAGCAAAAUUGUUCAUCAGUGGUGGAACAGACACUGUAAACAAUGUAUUUAAUGAAUCUGGAAGGAUCUUGUAAGGGAGCAGAUGACCAGCUCUGUCUUUCCAGCACAGCUCCAGUCCCUUACAGGAGUUUGUGACCUUGCCUUUCUAUCCCACACAUCAAGCUUUCUGCAGCUGUGUCUCUUUUUGCAUUUUAGAAAACGGGAAAUAUUUCACAGAAUCACAGAAUCAAUGAAAUUGGUUGGUGAUCUAGCACAGGUUGCCAAGGAUGGUGUCCAGUUGGGUUUUGAGUAUCUUUAUGGAGUGAGAUUCCACCACCUUUCUGCACAACUGACUUGUUUUGGGGCAUUCUCACAGUAAAAAAAAAAAAAAAAAAAAAAAAAAAAA
rnacentral:lncRNA from 1 species